CUGCAAACUUAGUACUUGAAACCAGCAUGGGAGUGUUGACUCACAGUCCUGGAUGUCAGAGACUGAAACCAGUGUCACUGGGCUAAAGUUGAGGCAGAGGCCCAGAGGAGACACACUACCACUACCUUAAGAGUGGGAUCACAGAGCCUUCCACACAGCUGUGGGCAGAUGACAGCUCAUGUAUCUGAGUGGGCUGUCAUCAACCUCUUCCCAUGCUUGUUGCUGCCUGUCACUUGGUAACUCUCCCUUGGAGAACUGCACAUUGUGUGGUGAAAAGCUCGAUGAAUUCCCAGCAUUCCUCUCCGUAGCAGCCGAGUUUUGUCAAGCUUGGGACUGGUGAUUGAUCGGGACACUUGGGAAAACUGCAACAAACCAGUCUUGACCACAUUUGUCUGCUGUGGCAUGUUCUGUUGCCGGCAGCUGGAGAUGCCGGGAUAAUAGGAAGAUGACAUCUGUAUCCGUUGAAAUGCCAUGACCAAAAGCAACUUAAGGAAAUUUACUUUGACUUAUGAUCCAUAACGGUAAUGAAUGCAUGGCGGGAGAUAGACAGUGUGGAAAGCUGAGGUUGUGUCUCAACCACACAGGGAGCAGAGAGAGGAAGAGGGAACCGAGACACAGCUAUACACUCUCAAAGCUCGCCCCUUGUCAUGGACUUCUGAGAGCAAAGCUCUACCAUCUAAAGGUUCUAUAACCUCCACAAACAGACUAUUAACUGAGAACUACCGAGUGUUCACAUACCCAUGUCUGUGGUAUUGUUUUAUGACUUACUGGGUGAUUUUCAGGGACAGUAUUCCCAAAAGUAUGUGAUUAGGAGACUCAGGCCAUACAUUAGCCAAUCUUGUGGUUUCUAAUUGUAGCAGGCUUUGGGACCCAGAAGGAAGGUCAUUCUCAGCUCAGUGUUCUUUGUUCUUGUAACUUGGUGCUCCUCUGGCUUUCUGUCGCUACCUUAUGUACAGCUCCUGUCCUGGUGCAGAUCUCGCUAUGGUUGUCUGUGGGGUGGAAGAGAAGAUGGCACCGUGUAGGUGGAAGCCAGGAUGCAGUCCAGAUGGUAAAGGCAAGGAAACAGACUUUCCUCUGGGGUCUCCAGAAGGAACACUGAAGCCCUGCAUCCCGA
rnacentral:lncRNA from 1 species